rnacentral:misc_RNA from 1 species
AUGCGAUAAGUAAUGUGAAUUGCAGAAUUCCGUGAAUCAUCGAAUCUUUGAACGCACAUUGCGCCCCCUGGCAUUCCGGGGGGCAUGCCUGUCCGAGCGUCAUUUCUGCCCUCAAGCGCGGCUUGUGUGUUGGGCGUGGUCCCCCUGGCUUUGGCGGGGACCUGCCCGAAAGGCAGCGGCGACGUCCCGCCUAGUCCUCGAGCGUAUGGGGCUCUGUCACGCGCUCGGGAGGGACUGGUGGGCGUUGGUCACCCCUUAUUCUUUCUACGGUUGACCUCGGAUCAGGUAGGAGUUACCCGCUGAACUUAA